rnacentral:rRNA from 1 species
AAAUGAACCAAGUUUAAUUAAACUAUAAUUUAGUAAAUUGUUUCAUAUUUUAGUUUAUUAAGGAUAAGCUUAAUAAAAAUAGGAAAAAUAUAUUGAACUAAAUGAGUUAUGUAGGCUUGAAAUUGGCUAUCAUAGUAGAGUUUGUUAUAAAAUAAUUUAGAGAGUUAGGAAAAUUUUUAUAUUUACUUUCCUUGUAUUAUAAAGGUAAUAAGAAGAAUUGUUAGGUCUAAUUUAUGUAUGCUAAGAUGAGUAUUUUAGAGUUUUUAAAAAGAUAGAAGUAAUUAAAGAUAUCUAUAACAAUGGUUAUUUUAAAAAUAAAAUAAAAAAAAGGAACUCGGCAAAUAUUAGCUCCGCCUGUUUACCAAAAACAUGGCUCUUUGUUAGUUUUAUAUAAGGAGUCAAACCUGCCCAGUGAGAAUUUUUAACGGCCGCGGUACCCUGACCGUGCAAAGGUAGCAUAAUCAUUUGCCUUAUAAUUGAAGGCUUGUAUGAAUGGUUUAACGAGAGCAUUGCUGUCUCUUUUUUAGUAAAUAGAAUUUGACUUUUAGGUGAAGAGGCCUAAAUAUAAUUGAAAGACAAGAAGACCCUAUCGAGCUUAAAAGUUGGAUUAGAAAUAAUUAUAAGUUUAAAUUUACUACUAAUUUAUUUUUUGAUUGGGGCGAUCAAGGAACAAUAAAAGCUUCCUUUAUUUAUUUUAACUUUUAGGUGUUGAUCCAGUUGAAGCUGAUUAAAAGAAUUAGUUACCGUAGGGAUAACAGCAUAAUCUCUCUUGAGAGAUCUAAUCGAAAGAGGGGGUUGUGACCUCGAUGUUGGACUAGAAUAUCCUAAAGGCGCAGAAGUCUUG